GGCCUGGCCGGCCGGUCCUCCUCACCGAGCGCACUGGUUCGGCCGGGCCUUUCCCUCUGCGGAGCCGCAUGCCCUUCACUGGGUGUGUCGGGGAAGCAGGACUUUUACCUUGAAAAAAUUAGAGUGCUCAAGGCAGGCUUUUGCUCGAAUACAUUAGCAUGGAAUAAUAGAAUAGGACUU
rnacentral:rRNA from 1 species